UGAAAGGAAAUUGGACAACUAUACCCGAAAUACCAGGAGAGCUUUGCAAUGUAAAAAACAAAUCAAGUGCUUCAUAUCGUUGCAAAAUAAUUUUGCUCUCUGCAGCAGUAAGAGGGAAAAAUUGAGUCUGAAUGGCACCAAGAAUCUUUGUUGUUCGGGAAAUUCUGCCCGAUAACCACCUUCAGAUUGGUAGUAUUGUACAAUGUUAAAGAACUGUAAGUGCUCGGGGCAGCAGAGAAAAACAUUCAGAGCCUGCAACCAGAAAGCAUCCAACUUUCUCUGUGUCUCUUUGGAUAAAAGGCAGAAAACCCAAGAAAUAAAUGUCUGGGUGGACAUAUCAUCUCCUGCACUCUGAUCGAAGCAGAGCAAUUAAUAGACAUCGGAACAGCAAGUGUUGGAAAUAUUCAGCAGCAGCCUUGGAUGCACCUCAUCUAGUCCUGGGAAUUUAUCGACGUAAACUGCUUAUCCCUCCUCUCUCUCAAG